rnacentral:rRNA from 1 species
UACGCAGGGUGCAAGCGUUACUCGGAAUUACUGGGCGUAAAGCGUGCGUAGGUGGUUCGUUAAGUCUGUCGUGAAAGCCCCGGGCUCAACCUGGGAAUGGCGAUGGAUACUGGCGGGCUAGAGUGCGGUAGAGGAGAGUGGAAUUCCCGGUGUAGCGGUGAAAUGCGUAGAUAUCGGAAGGAACAUCAGUGGCGAAAGCGACUGCCUGGCCCAAUACUGACACUCAAGUGCGAAAGCGUGGGGAGCAAACAGG